rnacentral:lncRNA from 1 species
UCGUAUGAUGAUGAACUCGCCGGCAACGGGAGGAUGAAAUUGGCGUCAGCUAGAAGUACAAUACUACAGGAAAAUUCACUGGCUAAAAAACCACACCAUUAAGAAGUGGUCUAGCACGUGAAGUCUAGGAUAUCAGAAGAAUCUCCACAAUAUGACUUGGCAUUGGCCAUGGAUGGUAUCCUUUGGUGUCAAAUCGAAAGAAGAUUCCUUUGCAAUGAAGAAAUGAAAGCAAAACAAGAG